rnacentral:tRNA from 1 species
AGCCCGGUCAUCUAGCGGUCAAGGAUGCGAGGCUCUGGACCUCGUCACGAGAGUUCGAAUCUCUCCCGGGCUACCA